UUCUGGGAGGAUUGACAGAUUGAGAGCUCUUUCUUGAUUCGGUCGAUGGUGGUACAUGUCCGUUCUAAGUUGGUGGUGAUUUGUCUGGUUAAUUCCGAUAACGAACAGGACUCUAGCUUAUUAAAUAGGUGCGUGGUUCUCUGCACCCUGCACCCUUCUUAGAGGGACAAGCGGCUCCUAGCCGCACGAAACAGAGCAAUAACAGGUCUGCCAUUUUAG
rnacentral:ncRNA from 1 species